rnacentral:misc_RNA from 1 species
AACGCACGAGACCUGCGGACCUGCGGAAGGAUCAUUAAUGAGAAGCUGCCCCUCGUGGGUAGACCUCCCACCCUCUGUGAACUUACCUUUGUUGCUUCGGCAGGCCCGUCCUCUGGACCGCCGGCUUCGGCUGGCCCGUGCCUGCCAGAGGAUUCCAAACCCUGUCUGUCAGUGUUGUCUGAGUCUAUAUGAAAUCGUUAAAACUUUUAACAACGGAUCUCUAGAUCGGAAGAGCACACG